UACGUAGGUGGCAAGCGUUAUCCGGAAUGAUUGGGCGUAAAGGGUGCGCAGGCGGAAUAGCAAGUCUGAAGUAAAAGGCAUUGGCUUAACCAAUGUAUGCUAUGGAAACUGUUAAACUAGAGUGCAGGAGAGGGCAGUGGAAUUCCAUGUGUAGCGGUAAAAUGCGUAGAUAUAUGGAGGAACACCGGUGGCGAAGGCGGCUGCCUGGCCUGUAACUGACGCUGAGGCACGAAAGCGUGGGGAGCAAA
rnacentral:rRNA from 1 species